UACAGAGGGUGCGAGCGUUACUCGGAAUUACUGGGCGUAAAGCGCACGUAGGUGGCGACGUAAGUCGGGUGUGAAAGCCCCGGGCUCAACCUGGGAAUUGCAUUCGAGACUGCAUUGCUGGAGUACGGAAGAGGAGGGCGGAAUUCCCGGUGUAGCGGUGAAAUGCGUAGAUAUCAGGAGGAAUACCGAUGGCGAAGGCAGGUCUCUGGGCUGACACUGACGCUCAUGCACGAAAGCGUGGGGAGCAAACAGG
rnacentral:rRNA from 1 species